AUUGAACGCUGGCGGCAUGCUUUACACAUGCAAGUCGAACGGCAGCGCGGGCUUCGGCCUGGCGGCGAGUGGCGAACGGGUGAGUAAUGCAUCGGAACGUGCCCAGUUGUGGGGGAUAGCCCGGCGAAAGCCGGAUUAAUACCGCAUCCGACCUGAGGGUGAAAGCGGGGGAGCGAAAGGCCUCGCGCGAUUGGAGCGGCCGAUGUCGGAUUUGCUAGUUGGUGGGGUAAAGGCUUACCAAGGCGACGAUCCGUAGCUGGUCUGAGAGGACGACCAGCCAGAGUGGGACGGAGAAACGGCCCAGACUCCUACGGGAGGCAGCAGUGGGGAAUUGUGGACAAUGGGGGCAACCCUGAUCCAGCCAUGCCGCGUGGGGGAAGAAGGCCUGCGGGUUGUAAACCGCUUUUGUUCGGGAAGAAAUCCUCUGGGCUAAUACCCCGAGGGGAUGACGGUACCGGAAGAAUAAGCACCGGCUAACUACGUG
rnacentral:rRNA from 1 species